CAAAAGGCGAUGACGGAAGAAAGUAGGCUAUGGAGCGCUUUACAGGGAGAAAACGCCGGCGACUGAGAGCGUUUUCAGGCGAAAAUAGCUGAAGUUCCCUUCCGAGCUUCGGGUUGAAACUCAAAGUAGGCCCGGACGGUUUUGACCGUUAAACCAAUAGGGCAUAGAUUAAAAUCCGUGCCCGAAAAGAGUGGGCUUUAUGCCAAUUUGGGUGGUACCGCGGAAAGCAGCCUUUCGUCCCAUCA
rnacentral:ncRNA from 1 species